rnacentral:rRNA from 1 species
AGCAGCCGCGGUAAUUCCAGCUCCAAUAGCGUAUAUUAAAGUUGUUGCAGUUAAAAAGCUCGUAGUUGAAUUUCGGGACCAAUUUGUUGGUCGUGCCUCGGUACGUACUGAUAUUAUUGGUUUCUCCCUUCUGAAGAACCAUGAUGCCAUUAAUUUGGUGUCGUGGGGAAUCAGGACUGUUACUUUGAAAAAAUUAGAGUGUUUAAAGCAGGCUUUCGCUUGAAUACAUUAGCAUGGAAUAAUGAAAUAGGACGUUUGAUUCUAUUUUGUUGGUUUCUAGGAUCGACGUAAUGAUUAAUAGGGAUAGUUGGGGGCAUUAGUAUUCAAUUGUCAGAGGUGAAAUUCUUGGAUUUAUUGAAGACUAACUACUGCGAAAGCAUUUGCCAAGGAUGUUUUCAUUAAUCAAGAACGAAAGUUAGGGGAUCGAAGACGAUCAGAUACCGUCGUAGUCUUAACCAUAAACUAUGCCGACUAGGGAUCGGAUGAUGUUAAUUUUUA